rnacentral:lncRNA from 1 species
UCUCUCUUCUCUCUCUUUUCUCCGCCGCCGCCAGAAAUCACCCACCAGUGGCGAACCACCUCCAAACACCUCCAAAUUCACACCAUGUAAUCUCCACAACCUCCCUCUUCCCAUAUCUCCAAAUUAAUUCCUUCAAAACACCCUCAAACUCUUUAAAUUUUAGAUCUAGGAAACUUUAGCCGCCACUUUUUGGCCCAAAUUCUUGAAACUCCGGCCAACACCACCCUACAACACAUACAUAAAUGGAUAGAGCUCCGCGAGACCUAUCUUUUCCUAUCCAUUUCACCCCCAAAAUCACCGUCGCCGCCGGCGAUCCACCUCACCGCCGACCCGCCACUACUGUCGCACUCCUCCUUCUCCUCCUCUGUUUUAGCCUAAUUCUGACCCAAGAACACUCAUUUCCUUUUGGUAUGACACCAAGUUCAUUGAAUUUGUUGUCUACCGAAAUGAAAUAAGCGUUUCAUGGUCGUGCAACCACUUCUUGGCAUCUCCGACGUCUUCUCGUGGCUUGAACAGCUUCAAGCACGUUCGUUAGGUAUAAUCGUCAUCUCUUUACUUAAUUUCUGAUUUUCUUUAGUAGUAAUAGGUUAGUUCUUGAUUUUAAUUUUAGUUCCUGAUUUUAAUUUUUCUGUUUUGGAUUUGUUGUUAAUUAGAGUUUCAAGUUAGAUUUAUUUAAUUAGUUAUCUAUUUAGUUUAGUUGUUUGUUAGACUAUUAUUAAUUAAACAUAAUAUUUAGUGUAUCAGUUUAAUCGUUUGCUUAGUUAAUCAAUUAUUUAGUUGUUGAACGUCGUCGUCCGAGUGUUAACGAUGCUCGUUCUGUUUUGAGCAUUAGUUUGUGAAUCAAACUGUUUGUUCUAUGUUUAGUUUGCACAAAUUAAUUUGUUUUAAUCUAGUUAGUCAGAGUUUUAGUUCCAUUUGAAAUCAUAUUUCUGUUUUGUCAAUUGUUAGUCGUCUGAGUUUGAUUUGGUUCAAAAUCAAGUAGUUUGGUGCUGAUGGUUAAAAUCUGAAGUUUAGGUUAUUUUAUCAUAAAAUUGUGUACUAGCAGCCUACCUUUUACUAGUAGGGUGGCUGAAAUGACUUUAUUUUUCUCCUUGCUUCUGACACAACAGAUUUCAGGCUGUCCUUUCACCUUUUGGAUAGAUUUUGAACAGUGUUUAGCACACAAAGUCAGUCAUUUGGACAAAUUUUGGUGAACCAAAAUCUUUCCAAAAAAAAUCUUACUUUAUUUGCCUAUUUAAAGGGUUGCUCUUCUCCUAUAAAGGGGACUCUCUUACACUUAGAAUACACAUCCUUACUUACUGAAAAAGGAUCACACACUCUAGGGCACAUAUUGAAAGAUCUUCUACACUCUGGAAAAAAAAAAAAGACACAACUUAAGAACUGAACAUCCAAAAGUGAGCUGAAAUUUGAGAGCGGUUGAGUGAGUAUUUAGAAAGCAAAAAUUGUCCCAAAAAAAGGGGGUUCCUAAGUCAGUUUACUUAGUUCUUUCCUUGUUAAAAGUUGCUGAAUUUUCUAUUUUAGUUCGUCCGUUUUUCUGGGUUGUUUUCUUGGGUCACUCAAGUUGUUGAUUUGUUGUUGUUUCCCCUGUUGUUCCUACUGCUUCUGUUGCUGAAUUUAUGCUAUUGUAACUGCUGUAUUUUCGAUUUUCAGGUAACCUUUCAAAUACUUGUAAUGCAGGUUCUUUUCUUUAAUAGAAGAUGAUGAAAAGAUGGGCCUUUUAGUUUGUUCCGGGCAAUUUUAUUCAAAGGAGUUUCUGAAUAUUUGAGUGCUAAGAUCUGCAUGCUCGUAAUCAUUUUAUUGUUGUAGUCGAGUAGUUUGGUUUAUUUCGUAGUUGGCAGAUCUGAGUAUCCAUGUUCUUUGAUAUUAGUUUGAACUAGUUAGAUCAUAGUGCACUUAAAAAAUGAGUGAGGCAAUAAUAUUUAGUAUUGAAAGAAGAGUAUUGGAUUGUUGACAUUGGUGAACGUGUGUUGUGUCAAACUUCAUGUCAAAAGGUUUCCGUUGCAUUUGUACCUGAGA